rnacentral:rRNA from 1 species
GUGCAGCAGUCGCGAAUCUUCGGCAAUGGGGGAAACCCUGACCGAGCGACGCCGCGUGUGGGAUGAAGGCCCUUGGGUUGUAAACCACUGUCAGAGGGGAUGAAAUGCCGGAAAGUUAUCUCUCCGGUUUGACAUAGCCUCAGAGGAAGCACGGGCUAAGUUCGUGCCAGCAGCCGCGGUAAGACGAACUGUGCAAACGUUAUUCGGAAUCACUGGGCUUGAAGAGUGCGUAGGCGGUUUCGUAAGUAGGGUGUGAAAGCCCCCGGCUCAACCGGGGAAUUGCGUCCUAAACUGCGAGGCUGGAGUGAGGUAGGGGUGUGUGGAGCUUCCAGUGGAGCGGUGAAAUGUGUUGAUAUUGGAAGGAACGCCGGUGGCGAAAGCGACACACUGGACCUUGUCUGACGCUGAGGCACGAAAGCCAGGGGAGCAAACGGGAUUAGAUACCCGUGUAGU